rnacentral:rRNA from 1 species
AGAACGAACGCUGGCGGCGUGGAUAAGACAUGCAAGUCGAACGGGUUUAGUUUUGGAGCAAUCUAAAAUUGAGCCAGUGGCGAACGGGUGCGUAACACGUGAGUCAUCUGCCUAGAAGUGGGGGAUAGCUCGCCGAAAGGCGAAUUAAUACCGCAUGUGGUCCGGCUUCGGCCGGACUAAAGCCGGGGCAACCUGGCGCUUUUGGAGGAGCUCGCGGCCUAUCAGCUUGUUGGUGAGGUAACGGCUUACCAAGGCAACGACGGGUAGCUGGUCUGAGAGGACGACCAGCCACACUGGAACUGAGACACGGUCCAGACACCUACGGGUGGCAGCAGUCGAGAAUUUUUCUCAAUGGGGGAAACCCUGAAGGAGCGACGCCGCGUGGAGGAUGAAGGCUUUCGGGUUGUAAACUCCUGUCAUUUGGGAACAAAGUCUUACGUUAACUGCGUGGAGAUUUGAUAGUACCGAAAGAGGAAGAGACGGCUAACUCUGUGCCAGCAGCCGC